UCUUUGCUUUAAGAAAUUUUUUUAUUUUUAUUCUGGGUUGUGAUGAAGUGACAAUUUAUAGUGCAUUAAUGAUGUAAAUAUUGAACAAUUCAAAGCACUGGAGGCUAGAACCUCAAUGUGUUACAGUAUAUUUUUAUGUCUGGAAAAGUCAAGAUUCCACCUAUUUGUUGUAAUAGAAAAAACAUAAGAGCCCACUAUUUUGUUUUUUGUUGUUUUUGUUUUUCAAAAGUUUUUUUCUGAGUGU